rnacentral:rRNA from 1 species
UCAGACGAUGCGUCAUGCAUAUCAAUAAGCGGAGGAAAAGAAACUAACAAGGAUUCCCCUAGUAACGGCGAGUGAAGCGGGAAGAGCUCAAAUUUGAAAUCUUAAAGGGUUUCCCUUUACGAAUUGUAGUUUAAAGAAGUGUUUUCUGUUGAGGUUUUGGUAAAAGUUCUUUGGAAUAGGACAUCAUAGAGGGUGAGAAUCCCGUAUUUGACCUUUACUUUCAACUUUGUGAUACACUUUCAAAGAGUCGGAUUGUUUGGGAAUGCAGUCCAAAAUGGGUGGUAAAUUUCAUCUAAAGCUAAAUAUUGGCGAGAGACCGAUAGCGAACAAGUACCGUGAGGGAAAGAUGAAAAGAACUUUGAAAAGAGAGUUAAACAGUACGUGAAAUUGUCAAAAGGGAAGCGUUUGACACCAGUGUUGUUUUUCUGAAAAUCAAUUAAAGAACUGUUUAUGCUAAGCUGUUUAGACUUUAUCAGCUAGUCUGUUUAGUUUUGAGCUUUUCUUUAAUGCACUUUUCAGUUAACAAGUCAACAUCAAUUUCUUUUGCUGUAAAAAAGCUUGAGGAAGGUGGCUUGAGAUUCGUCUUAAGUGUUUAUAGCCUCUUGCCUAUGCAGUCGGAGAGAUUGAGGUCUGCAGCGUAGAUCCUUCGGGGCUAAAUGCAUUUGUGCUAAGUUAUAGCAUUUUAUAGACAACUUGUUGACUAUGAUUUGUCUUGUAGCUUACUCGCUUAUGUUAUUUUACCUACGCUUAGGAUGUUGACACACGCGCGUGCUCG